UCAGAUGUUUAUGGUAAAGAAGAUCUCACCCUCUCCAGUUUUUCUCUAGCCCUCAAACAGACUUUGCCAUUUUGUGAUGAAAAGGGAGAAGAAAAUUUGGGAAAGGUGACGUGGUGAAGCAUAGCUUACACAUGCUGACAGAAGUGUGCCCACACAGCUCACAUGGGUUUGUGCCUGGAGGUUGGAUGCAGCUACCCAGGAAGAGGUUUGUACAGAGAAUGACUUCCUCCAGUUCCGAACUCUCAUUGUCUCAUCUGCAGCUGCCCUGAUUUGAGCUGAAAAAAAUCUCUGGAUUUUAGGUUGGCUUCCCAGUUCAUGGGGUUACAUGGAAUUGUUACAAGGAUUGCUGCAGGGGUACUGUUUGACUGACCAGUCUGAAAAGUCUGCAAUUCCUCUGAUCGGCCUCUGCUCUCUGAUCACUGUGGUGGCAGGAGACCCAGCCCAAGCUAUUUCUGAGAAACUUUUUGUCAUUUGAUAGCUUAACUAGCAGAGUAAGAAGAUACCAGGCACUGUGGACUCUGCAGCAUCCAACAGUGAAUGUGAGGUAAUGUAAUCCUCUUCCUUCAAGGAGCACAUUUGUCUGAAAAGCACUUGGAGACAGCUCUUCCUGGGUUUUCAGCAUAUUUAAUCAAACAGAAAAAGUCCUGAGGGCAAGGAGAGUCACAGACUAUGUGUGGUUUAACAUACUAUCUCUUCUUACAGUAUGUCAGAAAUUGUAAUGGAUUUGCUGUAUAACAGGAGACAGACUGCAAGUAAUUAAGAGCAAGUAAUCCU